CAAACUCAUGAGUCUCCUUUCUGCAGGCUCGAUGGGAAGGUCCUUCUUGCCCAUUAAUAAUAUAAAAGAGCCGCAAAGGGCAACAACUUGUCCUUUAUCUUAGAAUCGCUGUCUUGGCAUGCCACAGACUACAGGACUUCUAAAAGCUUCAGUGUUGAAGCUCCUGAAUCUUCAUAGGGUGUAUCUCCCAUCUGGUGCACAUGUGUCUUCCUGAGUGUCUUCCUACGGCACCAGGUCUAACUGAUAUGACAACAUCAAUAUGGCGGAACAGCAUGAUGUGUGUGGAAGGUCUGGAUGAGCACUGUACCUGCAGAUCACAUGUGACAGAGAGAAGAAGGUUACACAGCCUGGGGAAGUCUAGUGGAUUGUGCCAUCCCGACCACCAGGUGAGCAAAAGUGACCUGCACCACUGCCAGGCCUGACCCAAAAGCCUCCCCAGAGGUUCCUUCUAUGUUCUUCCUGGGGUGAUGACAAUCAACACAACAUUGGAAACCACGUGUUCAAGAUGGCAGAGCCACCAUCAGCCUGGUUCCUGAAUGACCACGUGGAGCAACAUGGAAUAUCCAAGUGAGCAAGAAAUAGAGUCUUAUCUUCUUGCUUCAUUAUAUUUCGGAUAUUCUUGAAAAGGGGUUCAGCCUACCCCAAAUACAAGAGACAUGAAAGAAAAGGAUAAAGAUGAAAAAUAAGU
rnacentral:lncRNA from 1 species